GACAGAUGCCCCAAGCGUUAGGCGGAAUCACUGGGCUUAAAGCGUGUGUAGGCGGAUCGUUAAGUGUCUUGUGAAAUCCCACGGCUCACCCGUGGAACUGCUGGGCAUACUGGCGAUCUUGGGCCAACUAGGGGCAGUCGGAACAAGCGGUGGAGCGGUGAAAUGCGUAGAUAUCGCUUGGAACGCCGAAGGUGAAAACAGACUGCUGGGGUUGCGCCGACGCUGAGACACGAAAGCCAGGGGAGCAAACGGG
rnacentral:rRNA from 1 species